UAAAUCUAGCCAAGCAUUUAAAAUAAAUAUAGCAAUAUAGUUAAAUAAAUUAGUUGACCCAGUGCACCAAGUGUAAGGACUUCCGAUAAGUCUUAAGCCACGGUGUAACCACAAAUGUAAUUAGAGCUGCCAACUUGAUAUGAUCCCUGAAAGCUAAGCUUUCCAAAGCCCUUGAAAGUGUUGUGCAUACAUACUAUAUGUAUGAAUUUUCUUUUCACUUAGUAUUAUUUUUACAGUUGAACUGUUUGCAGUAGCCGCAAUUUUAUUUUAACAAAUAAUACAAAAUUUUGAUAAUAUAAUAAUAUGGACCGGCAAUUUAGUGACUGGCGAGAUUCCCCAGCACCUACUGGACUCUUUGGAGGUCUUAGGCCCAAUUUAUUGGAUGUACCGCGGGCGCCAAAACUACGUAUGAACCGUAAAUACAUCCACUCAUCGACCAAUUUUUCUGAGAAUUUUAUUCGCCUCCGCUCUGUCUUUUCACCAAACGCUCGGAGGAAAAUAAAUGAAAAUACUUUGUAAUAACGCCAUUCAGAAGCUUCCCAGUCGAGCAGCCGAUUCUUAGAUAUAUCUGAUUCCUUGGGUUAUUCUGAUGUUUGUUAUUUAUUUUAUAGAAUUUGCUAAAGUAAAGCUAAAAUAUGAUGUUUCAAUUAUGAAUAUUUUAAAUAUAUAUGAAGUCAACUUUUAAAAACUUUGAAGCAUUUUUGAAUAUUCUGAACAUAGUAAUUUGAUUUACAUUUGAUUUACAUUUAAUUAAAAGCGGAUAAAAACACA